CAGAAAGUGUGUUUUCAGGACUAUCACAGGGCUCCAUUAAGGAAUUUCCAUUGGUCUGGACAGAUGGCACUUGGCAAAGGUGUGUAUUUAGGACGAAGCGGAAGGCCCAUUGUUAGCCACUGAAGGAUAUCCAUUGGCCAGAGUACAUCUGACAUCUGUCUCUUACAGAACAAAAAAAUCAUUCUUUAUUCAUAUUCUAACUUCCUCUCCAGGAAGUAAAACAAUGCAGCAGACAAGAACCUUCUGUCUAAGGUAAAACAACUAGACAUGUGUGGAGCAGUUUAUGCAACAAAGACAAAGCAAAACUGGA
rnacentral:lncRNA from 1 species